rnacentral:rRNA from 1 species
GACGAACGCUGGCGGCAGGCUUAACACAUGCAAGUCGAGCGCCCCGCAAGGGGAGCGGCAGACGGGUGAGUAACGCGUGGGAAACUACCCAUCUCUACGGAAUAACGCAUGGAAACGUGUGCUAAUACCGUAUACGUCCUUCGGGAGAAAGAUUUAUCGGAGAUGGAUGAGCCCGCGUUGGAUUAGCUAGUUGGUGGGGUAAGGGCCUACCAAGGCGACGAUCCAUAGCUGGUCUGAGAGGAUGAUCAGCCACACUGGGACUGAGACACGGCCCAGACUCCUACGGGAGGCAGCAGUGGGGAAUAUUGGACAAUGGGCGCAAGCCUGAUCCAGCCAGUCCGCGUGAGUGAUGAAGGCCCUAGGGUUGUAAAGCUCUUUCACCGGUGAAGAUAAUGACGGUAACCGGAGAAGAAGCCCCGGCUAACUUCGUGCCAGCCGCCGCCGUAACAC